GUCACUUAUCUAUCUAACUACCCAGCCUUCUUUUUUUGGGGGGGGGGAUGGUACUGGGGAUUGAACUCAGGGGCACUCAGCCACUGAGCCACAUCCUUGGUCCUAUUUUGUAUUUUAUUUGAGACAGGGUCUGAGUUGCUUAGCACCUUGCCAUUGCUGAGGCUGGCUUUGAACUCACGAUUCUCCUAUCUCAGCCACUGGAAUUACAGGAGUGUGCCACCAAGCCCUGCUCCAGCUACCCAGCCUUCUAUCCAUCCAAUGAGCUAACCUAUUUCUGACACAUUUCCAAAUGAAUUGUGACAUUAGGACCUUUCACCCAUAAAUACUUGUCAUUAACUAACUAGAAUAUUCAUUGAUAGUCCUUUUUUUUCUUUUAAAGAAAAAAUAUGCAUAGAAUAAAAUGCACAAGUCUUACGUGUACUAUCUAAUAAAUUUUCAAGAAACACAUGCACCCUAUUGUUUUGCUCAUUCCCAUCAUAGAAUAGUUUUGACCCAUUCCAGGACCUCAUGUAAAUGGAGUCAUAAAUAGGAUUAUACUAUACCCUUUUGUGUAACACCACCAGAAAAGCUGCCCCCCGUGUUCCAGCAGGGCUGAGAAUCUCGCUCUGACUCAGCCCUUUUCUUACCUUCCAGAUGAGGAAACUGAAGGUCAGUGAUUUUGUGAUUGUUUGAGGUUAACCGUCUACAGAUUCAUGUCCUGAAACUCCUUGACCCUGUUGACUGUCUAUCGAUGGAGUUUCUUCUGGAACAGUGGUUCUCAAAAUUUAGCAUCCAUAUGAUCUCUAGACGAUCAUAAUCCUUAAGUCUGGGCUGGGGUCCAAGAACUUGCAUUUUUAGCAAGUUCCUGAUAAUGCUGGCGCUGCAGGAUCAGGGCUUGCAGUUGAGGACCUCUGUCAUAAAAGGUAAGCUUAAACUGGGUGCAGUGGCUCACGACUAUAAUCCCAGCAGCUAGGGAGGCUGAGGCAGGAGGAUCACAAGUUCAAAGCCAGCCUCAGC
rnacentral:lncRNA from 1 species